GAAUAUUCUGGAGCUCUUCCUAAUUUCCCUACUUCAUAUGCUGCUUUGCUAAGAAUUAAAAAGAGUUCAUCUUCAUCUCUCUUUGGUUCAAAGACUAGACCACGAUAUAACAAUCCUUCAUUAGGAACACUGAGUGUCUCUUCACCAAGCUGGCGAGGGACAGCUCAACAUUAUUAUUCCCCCAUCAAUCUUUAUCAUUCCUCAGAUGCCUUCAAACAAGAUGAAAGUGUGGACUAUGGGCCAGUGUUUGUACAAGAACCAGAUGAUAUAAUUUUCCCGACCGAUUCUGAUGAAAAGAAAGUAGCACUGAAUUGUGAAGCCCGUGGCAACCCAGUUCCCAAUUACAGGUGGCUUCGAAAUGGAACAGAAAUAGAUUUGGAAAGUGACUAUCGCUACAGUUUGAUAGACGGGACCUUCAUUAUAAGCAAUCCAAGUGAAGCAAAGGAUUCUGGUCAUUAUCAGUGUUUAGCAGCCAACACAUUUGGAAGUAUUCUUAGUAGAGAAGCCAUACUUCAAU